CGGAAAGCAGGUGCAGGUGUGCAGCUAUUGGAGUCCGAGAUCCGACAACUCUGCUCUACCUCUAAAGAUAUCUUCUUGCAACAACCCAAUUUGUUAGAGCACCCAUCAAGAUUUGUGGUUAAAGCAAAAGUUGAAGAAAUUGCUCCCGGUGUUGCAACAGGAAUGAUUUUGUCUCUGCGUGAGAGUCUUCAUUACUAUCUAAGGAUGAUCUUGCGAAGUGCCAAGUAUGUAUCAUAUUUCAUUUUCCCUCGUUUCUAUCUCUUCAUUAUCCUUCUACAGUUAGUGAUAUAUCACUCAUGUGACAUCAAAUUCCAUCUAGUUGGAAAAUCUAAUGCUUACUAGUGUGUAAUUUUAAAAAUCAUGUCAAAUGUAAUUCCUUCUAGUCACAUGCUUGAUUCAUGGCACCUCUUGAUGCAUGCACCACCAUUAUAUGUGUUAUAUGGUUGUACCUACAUUCUAAUUCUUCUCUCAUAUAUUAAAUUAUGAUCUUCUUGGUUACAGAUGGAAUAUGAUGCUGCAAAAUCUGAGGUUCAGAAGUGGCAUUCUGCA